UACGAAGGGUGCAAACGUUGCUCGGAAUUAUUGGGCGUAAAGAGCUCGUAGGCGGUUUGUUGCGUCGGCCGUGAAAACCUGCAGCUUAACUGGGAGCUUGCGGUCGAUACGGGCAUCACUGGAGUUCGGCAGGGGAGACUGGAAUUCCUGGUGUAGCGGUGAAAUGCGCAGAUAUCAGGAGGAACACCGGUGGCGAAGGCGGGUCUCUGGGCCGAUACUGACGCUGAGGAGCGAAAGCGUGGGGAGCGAGCAGG
rnacentral:rRNA from 1 species